rnacentral:rRNA from 1 species
UGGGGAAUAUUGCACAAUGGGCGAAAGCCUGAUGCAGCAACGCCGCGUGCGGGAUGACGGCCUUCGGGUUGUAAACCGCUUUCAGCAGGGACGAAGGUUUUCUGACGGUACCUGCAGAAGAAGCACCGGCUAACUACGUGCCAGCAGCCGCGGUGAUACGUAGGGUGCGAGCGUUGUCCGGAAUUAUUGGGCGUAAAGAGCUUGUAGGCGGUCCGUUGCGUCGGAAGUGAAAACUCAGGGCUUAACCCCUGAGCCUGCUUUCGAUACGGGCGGACUUGAGGGAUGUAGGGGAGAACGGAAUUCCUGGUGGAGCGGUGGAAUGCGCAGAUAUCAGGAGGAACACCAGUGGCGAAGGCGGUUCUCUGGACAUUUCCUGACGCUGAGAAGCGAAAGCGUGGGGAGCAAACAGGCUUAGAUACCCUGGUAGUCCACGCCGUAAACGGUGGGCACUAGGUGUGGGACCCAUUCCACGGGUUCCGUGCCGUAGCUAACGCAUUAAGUGCCCCGCCUGGGGAGUACGGCCGCAAGGCUAAAA